ensembl:lncRNA
UUUUCGUACAAUAAUGUAAAUACAUACAUUAUAUUACAAUAACAUUAAGGGGAUAGUUCCCCUUAGUCAUGAUACUCUCGUGAACACGUGUCGAAGACUGAAACGGAAGUGAAGAAACUGUUGAACAAAGUUGUUUUUUCUUAGCGCACAAAAAGUAUUCUCGUAUCUUCAUAAAAUUACGUUUAAACCACUGAUGUCACAUGGACUAUUUUAAGGAUGUCCGUAUACCUUUCUGAACCUUGAACAUGUCAGUCGCAUUGCUGACAGAAAGCUCUCAGAUUUCAUCAAAAACAUCUUAAUUUGUUUUCCGAAGACGAAUGAAGGUCUUACGGGUUUGGCACUACAUGAAGGCCAGAAGAGAUUAAAAAAAGUGAGAGGAAGUGACAAUACGGAAGCGGUCUGUCCUACAGAUUUCCUCUGAGGUCCCAGCCAGGAACUUGUUUUGGAAUCCGGGAGUCUGCUGCUGCCUCCACGUUUUUCAGUCAGCACUCACCUCACAAGCUACAUCCUGUGACUCACCAUAUCAGAGUCAUGUUGAGCAGUUACAGUUCCUGGCCCGGCUUUUUCCUGAUUCCAUCAGCGUGACCUACAUACAUCAAAAGAAUGGAUUCUGAAAGUCAUUCACAGUCUUUCAGGAUGCCACUCAAAGAUUUAGACCAUGUGUACUUUUUCACUUUUUCCUUGGUGUCCCCGUGACUUACUGUUCACCAAACAUAACCUUUCAAACUCCCACUCACCAAGUUUUCAGAAAACAUACACUGCUUCCCCCAAACUGACCACAAAGAAAAACAAUACUUCUGGAUGGAUAUUUGCUGUUUCACCUUCUAUUGUGAGAGAGAAAACACUAUAAGAACCAUUUUAUCCCAAGAGUGGGUUAUUCAACAGUUUAAGUUUAAAAACAGAAUUUUUCUACAAAGUGCAGUUUUGAAUGACUUUUGCACCAGAUACAAACCCUAAUGGCCCUUGCUGGGCAUGAAUAUCUGUGAACCAGACUGGAGAUAUUAUCGUCAUACAAAUUACAGUGAUGAAACAUCAAUAGGUGUGCAACUCAGUCGUGUAACUCAGUACGUCCUAAUGACAUCACUAAAC